AAGUCGUAACAAGGUUUCCGUAGGUGAACCUGCGGAAGGAUCAUUAACACGAGAGGUAAUGGGGUUGUAAAGGGGCGUGGGGACCCGGUUGCAUGUCUGCCGGUCGGUGAGCGACCUCUGGCAAUCGUUGAGGCGAGAUCCUUAGACAAGCAAUGACACUUUCAGACACUGACUGCUUCGGGAUGCCAUGCAGCUAUCUCCGCUCAAUCGUAACUGUAACUUCUCAUUUGUCAGAAGUCCCGAAUCAAUACUGUUCGACAAUGAUUUACCGGGAUUGCUGGAUCGCACUGGGCUACGAGAGCAGGUUUGAAUGUUCACAGGGGGGUUUUUUACGUUGGAUAGUGAGUCGCGGGAAACUAGCGGCUAAAAAACCUCGAACAACUGUUAACAAUGGAUAUCUUGGUUCUC
rnacentral:misc_RNA from 1 species